rnacentral:rRNA from 1 species
CAGUAGCCACGGGAAUACGAAGGGUGCAAGCGUUACUCGGAAUUACUGGGCGUAAAGCGUGCGUAGGUGGUGGUUUAAGUCCGUUGUGAAAGCCCUGGGCUCAACCUGGGAAUUGCAGUGGAUACUGGAUCACUAGAGUGUGGUAGAGGAUAGUGGAAUUUCCGGUGUAGCAGUGAAAUGCGUAGAGAUCGGAAGGAACAUCUGCGGCGAAGGCGACUAUCUGGGCCAACACUGACACUGAGGCACGAAAGCGUGGGGAGCAAACAGGAUUAGAUACCCGCGUAGUCCCUGUCUCUUAUAC